rnacentral:rRNA from 1 species
UCUUUCGGGAUCUUGAGAGCGGCGUACGGGUGCGGAACACGUGUGCAACCUGCCUUUAUCUGGGGGAUAGCCUUUCGAAAGGGAGAUUAAUACCCCAUAAUAUAUUGAGUGGCAUCACUUAAUAUUGAAAACUCCGGUGGAUAGAGAUGGGCACGCGCAAGAUUAGAUAGUUGGUGAGGUAACGGCUCACCAAGUCUGCGAUCUUUAGGGGGCCUGAGAGGGUGAUCCCCCACACUGGUACUGAGACACGGACCAGACUCCUACGGGAGGCAGCAGUGAGGAAUAUUGGACAAUGGGUGCAAGCCUGAUCCAGCCAUCCCGCGUGAAGGACGACGGCCCUAUGGGUUGUAAACUUCUUUUGUAUAGGGAUAAACCUAGAUACGUGUAUCUAGCUGAAGGUACUAUACGAAUAAGCACCGGCUAACUCCGUGCCAGCAGCCGCGGUAAUACGGAGGGUGCAAGCGUUAUCCGGAUUUAUUGGGUUUAAAGGGUCCGUAGGCGGAUUUGUAAGUCAGUGGUGAAAUCUCACAGCUUAACUGUGAAACUGCCAUUGAUACUGCAAGUCUUGAGUGUUGUUGAAGUAGCUGGAAUAAGUAGUGUAGCGGUGAAAUGCAUAGAUAUUACUUAGAACACCAAUUGCGAAGGCAGGUUACUAAGCAACAACUGACGCUGAUGGACGAAAGCGUGGGGAGCGAACAGGAUUAGAUACCCUGGUAGUCCACGCCGUAAACGAUGCUAACUCGUUUUUGGGCUUUCGGGUUCAGAGACUAAGCGAAAGUGAUAAGUUAGCCACCUGGGGAGUACGAACGCAAGUUUGAAACUCAAAGGGAAUUGACGGGGGCCCGCACAAGCGGUGGAUUAUGUGGUUUAAUUCGAUGAUACGCGAGGAACCUUUACCAAGGCUUAAAUGGGAAAUGACAGGCUUAGAAAUAGGCUUUUUCUU